rnacentral:rRNA from 1 species
GAUGAACGCUGGCGGCGUGCCUAAUACAUGCAAGUCGAGCGAAUGGAUUAAGAGCUUGCUCCGGUGGAUUAGUGGCGAACGGGUGAGUAACACGUGAGUAACCUGCCCUUGACUCUGGGAUAACUGCGGGAAACUGUAGCUAAUACCGGAUACGACCCUCGGCGGCAUCGCCAGGGGGUGGAAAGAAUUUCGGUCAAGGAUGGACUUGCGGCCUAUCAGCUAGUUGGUGAGGUAACGGCUCACCAAGGCGACGACGGGUAGCCGGCCUGAGAGGGUGACCGGCCACACUGGGACUGAGACACGGCCCAGACUCCUACGGGAGGCAGCAGUGGGGAAUAUUGCACAAUGGGCGCAAGCCUGAUGCAGCAACGCCGCGUGAGGGAUGACGGCCUUCGGGUUGUAAACCUCUUUUAGUAGGGAAGAAGCGAAAGUGACGGUACCUGCAGAAAAAGCACCGGCUAACUACGUGCCAGCAGCCGCCGUAA